AUCCAUCUGACGAGUCUCAAAUAGGAUAAAACACGCGUCCUGGAU
rfam:Schistosoma haematobium scaffold620_14, whole genome shotgun sequence.